rnacentral:rRNA from 1 species
GGAAAAGAUAAGUGCUGAAAGCAUCUAAGCACGAAACUUGCCCCGAGAUGAGUUCUCCCUGACCCUUUAAGGGUCCUGAAGGAACGUUGAAGACUACGACGUUGAUAGGUCGGGUGUGUAAGCGCAGUGAUGCGUUGAGCUAACCGAUACUAAUGAACCGUGAGGCUUAACCUU